AUCAUUUGUCAUGCAUAGGCUGUGUGACAUUCUCCAAAGCUCUCCACCUCUCGGAACCUGCAUUAUUAUUUAUCACAGAGAUCUUGAUGUUUCAGAUGACUGUGAAGAUCAAAUGGACUCAGGUGCUGAGAGCUAAUGAAGCCAGCUGGGAGCUAACCUUAAUAUCUGAACUGAAUUUUUCAAAGGCUCAACUGAAAAGAAUUGGAAACAUCAGCCCAGAUGGAGGAAUCUGAAAAUCUUGUUUCCAGUGAUGUUGCACACUGGGGAAGGUCAGACAACAUUCUAGACAUAAAGAGGCUGUGUGCCUCACAUCCCACCAGCUAAGAAGGCUACUCCUAAACAAGAAAUGGAAAUUCUCCUUGUUCUACUUAUGGUGAAUAGGACUUGCCAGCAGAAAACACACAGACAACAAUGUCAGGCAGCUUGUGAGCCUGUGUCAAAAGACGCUGUCAGCUUCCAAUUCUAAGUCAAGAGUCUCAUUAAGUGAUUCUGCAGGUUAAUGAGAAACUAAAACCUUUUAAAAACAAAAACCACCUUUCACUGGUGAGGGCUUCAGUGUAACAGGUAAGAAAGCUCCAUGCUUCAUACAUAUGGGAGCUGUGUAGGAAAUAUGUGGUAUGUUUGGCAGGUGACACUUUCUGGUUUUGGUGAUAUGACAUUAACACAUGAAAUUGAAUUUGCCCAAAUUUGUACUAUUGUCAGAUGUACAGAUGUACAGAUAUAUAAGCAUAGUUUACAUUGUUUUUGUAUAAGAUGGCAAUAAACAUGUUUUAUUAUC